AGAGUUUGAUCUGGCUCAGGAUGAACGCUAGCGGCAGGCUUAAUACAUGCAAGUCGUGGGGCAGCACAGGUAGCAAUACUGGGUGGCGACCGGCAAACGGGUGCGGAACACGUACGCAACCUUCCUUUAAGCGGGGAAUAGCCCAGGGAAACUUGGAUUAAUACCCCAUAAUACAAUUGGGUGGCAUCACUUGAUUGUUAAAGCUUCGGCACUUAAAGAUGGGCGUGCGGCUGAUUAGGUAGUUGGCGGGGUAACGGCCCACCAAGCCGACGAUCAGUAACUGGUGUGAGAGCACGACCAGUCACACGGGCACUGAGACACGGGCCCGACUCCUACGGGAGGCAGCAGUAAGGAAUAUUGGUCAAUGGACGCAAGUCUGAACCAGCCAUGCCGCGUGGAGGAUGAAGGCCCUCUGGGUUGUAAACUUCUUUUAUUGGGGAAGAAACCGGACUUUUCUAAGGCCGUUGACGGUACCCAUUGAAUAAGCACCGGCUAACUCCGUGCCAGCAGCCGCGGUAAUACGGAGGGUGCAAGCGUUAUCCGGAUUCACUGGGUUUAAAGGGUGCGUAGGUGGGCAGGUAAGUCAGUGGUGAAAUCUCUAAGCUUAACUUAGAAACUGCCGUUGAUACUAUCUGUCUUGAAUGUAGUGGAGGUGAGCGGAAUAUGUCAUGUAGCGGUGAAAUGCUUAGAUAUGACAUAGAACACCCAUUGCGAAGGCAGCUCGCUACACUACUAUUGACACUGACGCACGAAAGCGUGGGGAUCAAACAGAUUAGAUACCCUGGUAGUCCACGCCCUAAACGAUGGAUACUCGACAUCAGCGAUACACUGUUGGUGUCUGAGCGAAAGCAUUAAGUAUCCCACCUGGGAAGUACGACCGCAAGGUUGAAACUCAAAGGAAUUGACGGGGUCCGCACAAGCGGUGGGAGCAUGGUGGUUUAAUUCGAUGAUACCGCGAG
rnacentral:rRNA from 1 species